GGUUAAAUUAAAAGUGUGGUAAACCAAAUAUACAGUGCGGUGAAGUGCAAAAACAAAAGAAAAACAAUGUACAAUGCAAAAUUAAUAUAACACAAAAACAACAACGUCAAAAUAAACACAACUCUAACAUUACUAACAAAUUAAAUAGGGCGUGAAACUUAAAAAAUAUACUCGUGGAGUCAGUUAAACUAAAUACAAAUAAAGCUACAAAAACCAACAACAAAUUGAGCAGCGGAAUAGAAGCGACUGAACAACAGAAAGCCCACAGCACCCGUUUUUAUCUAAUUUAACUCCCCAGAAUCGCUGAGAGGAAUCAAACUCCCUCCCGCACUUAUGCCAACAAAUUUUCCAGUCAUCAUAGCACUUGGAAGAAGCCUCCGUCGUGAUGUCAAUCAGAGCCUCCUUCGAUUCAACUUUUAUGUCCUCAAUUAAGUCAAAACGGUGUCCGCAGGAGUAGUCAUGUAAAUUUGCUGAAUAGCUAGAAGUUACACGAACAUAAAUCAGACGAAACUUUAGUGGUUGUGCAGCAAUAUAAAAUUCCUGGAGUUAUUGGAUGCGUUGAUGGUACCCACAUAAACGAGCACAUGUACAUCAAUAAAAAAUGUUACCAUAGUAUUAACGCUAUGGUAAUAUGUGAUCACACUUACAAAAUUUUGGCUAUUAACUGUCAGGUGUUGGUGCAGCCCACGACUCAUUUGUUUGAAAACACUCGGACCAAAGAAGAGUUUUGGAGGAACGACUGCGGCACAACAGGAAUGAAAAUUCAUGGGGGAUUCUGCCUACCCAUUGGAACCAUGGUGCAUAACGCCUUAUAGAAACGCUUCGGAUGGUGCAAGUGAAGCUAUGUUCCAUGAAAUUCAUUCUAAGGCAAGAAGUUUCGUCGAACGAACUAUCGGAAUUUUAAAGGUACGCUGGAGAAUUUUAGGAUAUGGCAAGAAAGGAAGGCACCAUACGAGAAAAGUGUCCUCAGAAUUGCGAUUUUGAUCAAAGAACAGAUAUCGACACUGGGGUAGCGAACCGCCUCAUCGCAAUUGGGCAAACAAUAAGAGAUCAAAUAAAGUACUCUUUGAUAAAUUGAAAAUGAAAAUGUCUUUCA
rnacentral:lncRNA from 1 species